GAGAGUAUGAAGUACACAAAACAUAAGGAUAAGAAAGGGUAAUGAAGGGAAGUGACGAACAAAAAUAAAAACAUACAAAUUAGAUGACAACACAUACAAAACAUAAAAAAGAGAGAGAUCAGAAUAGAUGAAGAGGAAUUGAACUGCCUUGAAUGUUGAGAGAGGGUUUCAUUUUAGAGAUAAGAAUCAUAAGAAGGCUUUCAUGAAUAAGGAGUUCUUGGUCAUCUGAACAAGAGGAGAGGAUUUUAAAGUUGUC